UACGGGGGGGGCAAGCGUUGUUCGGAAUUACUGGGCGCAAAGGGCGCGUAGGCGGUGCUCUAAGUCGGAUGUGAAAACUCUGGGCUCAACCCAGAGCCUGCAUCCGAAACUGGAGUGCUAGAGUUCUGGAGGGGGUAGCGGAAUUCCUGGUGUAGCGGUGAAAUGCGUAGAUAUCAGGAGGAACACCGGUGGCGAAGGCGGCUACCUGGACAGAAACUGACGCUGAGGCGCGAAAGCUAGGGGAGCAAACAGG
rnacentral:rRNA from 1 species